GGCAGUGGUAGUUCAGUGGCUAAAAUAUCGGGCUACUGAUCAGAAUGUGGUGAGUUCAAAUCCCAAAAGUUGCCA